CCUACGGGCGGCAGCAGUGGGGAAUAUUGGACAAUGUGGGCAACCCUGAUCCAGCCAUGCCGCGUGUGUGAAGAAGGCCCUCGGGUUGUAAAGCACUUUCAGUGAGGAAGAACGCCUGGUGGUUAAUACCCAUCAGGAAAGACAUCACUCACAGAAGAAGCACCGGCUAACUCCGUGCCAGCAGCCGCGGUAAUACGGAGGGUGCGAGCGUUAAUCGGAAUUACUGGGCGUAAAGCGCGCGUAGGUGGCUUGAUAAGCCGGUUGUGAAAGCCCCGGGCUCAACCUGGGAACGGCAUCCGGAACUGUCAAGCUAGAGUGCAGGAGAGGAAGGUAGAAUUCCCGGUGUAGCGGUGAAAUGCGUAGAGAUCGGGAGGAAUACCAGUGGCGAAGGCGGCCUUCUGGACUGACACUGACACUGAGGUGCGAAAGCGUGGGUAGCAAACAGGAUUAGAUACCCCGGUAGUC
rnacentral:rRNA from 1 species